rfam:Globodera pallida, Lindley, WGS project CBXT01000000 data, contig: pathogens_Gpal_scaffold_415_contig_5
GCCCCGGUAGCUCAGACGGUAAGAGCAUUGGUUCUGGGUGUGAAGCUGAUCACUGCACCGAAGGUCGUGGGUUCAAUUCCUGCCCGGGGCU